rnacentral:rRNA from 1 species
UCCUCAGACAUUAUCGGCGGACGGGUGAGUAACACGUGGAUAACCUACCUAUAAGACUGGGAUAACUUCGGGAAACCGGAGCUAAUACCGGAUAAUAUAUUGAACCGCAUGGUUCAAUAGUGAAAGACGGUUUUGCUGUCACUUAUAGAUGGAUCCGCGCCGCAUUAGCUAGUUGGUAAGGUAUACGGCUUACCAAGGCAACGAUGCGUAGCCGACCUGAGAGGGUGAUCGGCCACACUGGAACUGAGACACGGUCCAGACUCCUACGGGAGGCAGCAGUAGGGAAUCUUCCGCAAUGGGCGAAAGCCUGACGGAGCAACGCCGCGUGAGUGAUGAAGGUCUUCGGAUCGUAAAACUCUGUUAUUAGGGAAGAACAAAUGUGUAAGUAACUAUGCACGUCUUGACGGUACCUAAUCAGAAAGCCACGGCUAACUACGUGCCAGCAGCCGCGGUAAUACGUAGGUGGCAAGCGUUAUCCGGAAUUAUUGGGCGUAAAGCGCGCGUAGGCGGUUUUUUAAGUCUGAUGUGAAAGCCCACGGCUCAACCGUGGAGGGUCAUUGGAAACUGGAAAACUUGAGUGCAGAAGAGGAAAGUGGAAUUCCAUGUGUAGCGGUGAAAUGCGCAGAGAUAUGGAGGAACACCAGUGGCGAAGGCGACUUUCUGGUCUGUAACUGACGCUGAUGUGCGAAAGCGUGGGGAUCAAACAGGAUUAGAUACCCUGGUAGUCCACGCCGUAAACGAUGAGUGCUAAGUGUUAGGGGGGUUUCCGCCCCUUAGUGCUGCAGCUAACGCAUUAAGCACUCCGCCUGGGGGAGUACGACCCGCAAGGUUGAAACUCAAAAGGAAUUGACGGGGGACCCCGCACAAGCGGGUGGAGCAUGUGGGUUUAAUUCCGAAGCAACGCGAAGAACCUUACCAAAUCUUGACAUCCUCUGACCCCUCUAGAGAUAGAGUUUUCCCCUUCGGGGGACAGAGUGACAGGUGGUGCAUGGUUGUCGUCAGCUCGUGUCGUGAGAUGUUGGGUUAAGUCCCGCAACGAGCGCAACCCUUAAGCUUAGUUGCCAUCAUUAAGUUGGGCACUCUAAGUUGACUGCCGGUGACAAACCGGAGGAAGGUGGGGAUGACGUCAAAUCAUCAUGCCCCUUAUGAUUUGGGCUACACACGUGCUACAAUGGACAAUACAAAGGGCAGCGAAACCGCGAGGUCAAGCAAAUCCCAUAAAGUUGUUCUCAGUUCGGAUUGUAGUCUGCAACUCGACUAUAUGAAGCUGGAAUCGCUAGUAAUCGUAGAUCAGCAUGCUACGGUGAAUACGUUCCCGGGUCUUGUACACACCGCCCGUCACACCACGAGAG